rnacentral:rRNA from 1 species
UACGUAGGGUGCAAGCGUUAAUCGGAAUUACUGGGCGUAAAGCGUGCGCAGGCGGUCUUGCAAGACAGAUGUGAAAUCCCCGGGCUCAACCUGGGAACUGCAUUUGUGACUGCAAGGCUGGAGUGCGGCAGAGGGGGAUGGAAUUCCGCGUGUAGCAGUGAAAUGCGUAGAUAUCAGGAGGAACACCGGUGGCGAAGGCGGCCCUCUGGACGGUGACUGACGCUGAGACGCGAAAGCGUGGGGAGCAAACAGG